GAUUAUGGCUCAGGACGAACGCUGGCGGCGUGCCUAACACAUGCAAGUCGAACGGAGUAAGAAUUCGGUUUUACUUAGUGGCGAACGGGUGAGUAACGCGUGAACAACCUGCCUUUCUGAGGGGGAUAACACCUGGAAACAAGUGCUAAUACCGCAUAAGACCACAGAGCCGCAUGGCCCAGGGGUCAAAGGAGUGAUCCGCAGGAAGAGGGAUUCGCGUCCCAUUAGCUAGUUGGCGGGGCAACGGCCCACCAAGGCGACGAUGGGUAGCCGAGCUGAGAGGCUGAUCGGCCACACUGGAACUGAGACACGGUCCAGACUCCUACGGGAGGCAGCAGUGGGGAAUAUUGGGCAAUGGGCGCAAGCCUGACCCAGCAACGCCGCGUGAGGGAAGAAGGUCUUCGGAUUGUAAACCUCUGUCCUAUGUGACGAAGGAAGUGACGGUAGCAUAGGAGGAAGCCCCGGCUAACUACGUGCCAGCCGCCGC
rnacentral:rRNA from 1 species